rnacentral:rRNA from 1 species
AGUGAACGCUGGCGGCGUGCCUAAUACAUGCAAGUCGAACGGUGUGGCGCACGGGUGAGUAAUAUAUAGCUAAUCGGCCCCUUGCUGGAGGACAACAGGUAGAAAUGACUGCUAAUACUCCAUAGAAAGGGAUGAGACUAUAGCGUAUCAGCUAGUCGGUGGGGGAACGGCCUACCGAGGCUAUGACGCGGAACUGGUAUGAGAGGAUGAUCAGGCACAGUGGAAAUGAGACACGGUCCAAACUCCUACGGGAGGCAGCAGUAGGGAAUAUGGCGCAAGGGGGGUAACCCUGACGCAGCAACGCCUCGUGGAGGUUGACACUUUUCGGAGCGUAAACUCCUUGUGUUAGGGAAGCGGUACCUAACGAAUAAGCACCGGCUAACUCCGUGCCAGCAGCCGCGGUAAUUC